UACAGAGACUGCGAGCGUUAUUCGGAUUCACUGGGCGUAAAGGGUGCGCAGGCGGCCAAGUGUGUGAGGUGUGAAAGCCCGGGGCUUAACCCCGGAAUUGCACCUCAAACUACAUGGCUAGAGCAUUGGAGAGGGUAGCAGAAUUCACGGUGUAGCAGUGAAAUGCGUAGAUAUCGUGAGGAAUACCAGAGGCGAAGGCGGCUACCUGGACAAUUGCUGACGCUCAGGCACGAAAGCGUGGGGAGCAAACGGG
rnacentral:rRNA from 1 species